rnacentral:rRNA from 1 species
CGGGGGAUAACUACUCGAAAGAGUGGCUAAUACCGCAUACGCCCUACGGGGGAAAGGGGGGGAUCGCAAGACCUCUCACUAUUGGAGCGGCCGAUAUCGGAUUAGCUAGUUGGUGGGGUAAAGGCUCACCAAGGCAACGAUCCGUAGCUGGUUUGAGAGGACGACCAGCCACACUGGGACUGAGACACGGCCCAGACUCCUACGGGAGGCAGCAGUGGGGAAUUUUGGACAAUGGGGGAAACCCUGAUCCAGCCAUCCCGCGUGUAUGAUGAAGGCCUUCGGGUUGUAAAGUACUUUUGGCAGAGAAGAAAAGGUAUCCCCUAAUACGGGAUACUGCUGACGGUAUCUGCAGAAUAAGCACCGGCUAACUACGUGCCAGCAGCCGCGGUAAUACGUAGGGUGCAAGCGUUAAUCGGAAUUACUGGGCGUAAAGCGUGUGUAGGCGGUUCGGAAAGAAAGAUGUGAAAUCCCAGGGCUCAACCUUGGAACUGCAUUUUUAACUG